rnacentral:misc_RNA from 1 species
UCUCCGUUGGUGAACCAGCGGAGGGAUCAUUACCGAGUUUACAACUCCCAAACCCAUGUGAACAUACCUACUGUUGCUUCGGCGGGAUUGCCCCGGGCGCCUCGUGUGCCCCGGAUCAGGCGCCCGCCUAGGAAACUUAAUUCUUGUAUUUCUUUAGUAUCUUCUGAGUAAACAAGCAAAUAAAUUAAAACUUUCAACAACGGAUCUCUUGGUUCUG